rnacentral:rRNA from 1 species
GACGAACCGAGCAACCGUUAUUCGGAAUCACUGGGCUUAAAGGGCGCGUAGGCGGGCCAUCAAGUCUGUGGUGAAAUCCUCCAGCUUAACUGGAGAACGGCCGCGGAUACUGGUGGUCUCGAGGAAGGUAGGGGCAUCUGGAACUGGUGGUGGAGCGGUGAAAUGCGUUGAUAUCAUCAGGAACUCCGGUGGCGAAGGCGAGAUGCUGGACCUUUUCUGACGCUGAGGCGCGAAAGCCAGGGGAGCGAACGGG